rnacentral:misc_RNA from 1 species
GUGAAUCAUCAAAUUUUUGAACGCAAAUUGCACUCUCCGGUUUUCCGGGAGAGUAUGCCUGUUUGAGGGUCAGCCUAAAAAAAAUCGACAUUGUUGCUGUUAUUUAAUGGCGACUUUCGUCGGAGAUUGGGUUAUCUUAAACUUUUUUUUUUUUUUUUUUUGUUUUAAGCGACUUAAAAUUUUUCUUCACGAUUCCUUUAACGUUUCUAAGUUUUUUAUUUCUUAUACGUUUAAGGUUUAUCGAUCUUUUAUUAGACGUUACCUUCGCUUCGGAUC